rnacentral:rRNA from 1 species
UACGUAGGGUGCAGGCGUUAAUCGGAAUUACUGGGCGUAAAGCGUGCGCAGGCGGUUUCUUCAGUCAGAUGUGAAAGCCCCGGGCUUAACCUGGGAACUGCGUUUGAAACUGGGAGACUUGAGUGUGGCAGAGGGGGGUGGAAUUCCACGUGUAGCAGUGAAAUGCGUAGAUAUGUGGAGGAACACCGAUGGCGAAGGCAGCCCCCUGGGUUAACACUGACGCUCAUGCACGAAAGCGUGGGGAGCAAACAGG